CACGUAGGCGGGAAUGUAAGUCGGGUGUGAAAUCCCUCGGCCCAACCGAGGAACUGCGCCCGAUACUGCAUACCUUGAGGACAGGAGGGGAGCGUGGAAUUCCUGGUGGAGCGGUGAAAUGCGUUGAUAUCAGGAGGAACACCGGCGGCGAAGGCGACGCUCUGGCCUGUUUCUGACGCUGAGGUGCGAAAGCCGAGGGGAGCAAACG
rnacentral:rRNA from 1 species